CUCUCCUCUUCGUCCAAAAAAAAAGUAAUUUUAAUUUGUUUCAUCCUGACGCUGAAUGGGUGGAAUGUCACUGUUGCUAGGAUACAUCAUCCCGACGACUGGCUGGCUUUCCUUCAAGGCCUGGGAGGAACAGGGAGGGGCGGAUGGAGGAUACUGAGCAGGGAGGAUACCGGGGAAGGGAGUGAACAAGUAUACUGGAAGGGAGAGGGAGCUGGAGGGGGAAGAAGAAAAAAAAAAAGCCUUGGAAGAGGGGGUCUGAAGGGGAAAAGUAAAAAAAAAAAAAAAAGGAAGAGGAAAGGGAAGCGGCAAACGAACCCGUAAGAAGGAAAGCAAAGACAGCGAGAAGGAGGGAGGGAAAGAUGGGGAGAGUGUUUAAAAGGAGGGGAUGGGCGAGCAGAGAGAGGAGAAAACGAGAGAAAGGACAAAAAAAAAAAAAAAGAAAAAAAGAAGGACGCAGCAAUGGGAAACACCUCACGGUGCGUUUGUCAUUAUGUAAUCUGUCUGCCAUCGUCCUUUACCCCCAGACUCCUCCCCCUUGGCAUCGUCCUGGCAACGGGGCCGUCAGACUGAUGUUGCCGGGCCUGACUCCACGGUGAUGCUUUGCAUCAGUGGACACCGAGCACUGUGUUACACCAUAUAAAAGAGCCACUUCAAGGUGCCCUCGACCAUCCUCCCAGCUGACCCGAUGGAGCCGCUCAGCGUCACGCUCUGGUUCUACCUGCAACCCUCUGAUGUGCAGUAACUGUGAUGUGAAAGAUUGCGAGGUCGCCACGGCGGAGAGGAGGUCGCGUGCCUCGGGCCCAGACGUGGCGACGCCUCGGCCUGCUCAGUCGUCCUCCUGGAUCCACACACUUGACAUAUAUCAUACUUUGUAUCAGAUAUUUCUGUCAAUGCACUUUGUAAAUUGUACUUUACUGCAUAAAGCGUGUCCAUUAAAGCGUGUUAACAGAUUUCGCGGAGUGCCACUGCAUACGUGGAAACAGAAAAAGCCUUUUUGUGGCUCCGCAGGAAAGCUGCAUGUGAUCAUAGAAAUUGCCUCGAUUUGUCCAUAAUGAGUCCAGCAGUGUCAUAGGAGUGCAAUGAUGGACCAGUGGACUGCUUCUCAAAACCUGGCAUCCACAAUACCCAUCAGAAACAAUUGAUCAGGUUCCAUGCAGCUUCCUCUGGAGCCACAAAAGGCUGUAUAGUACUUUGUUUUCCACAUAUGCUGUAGUUCUGCCCAAGACCUGCACACACACUUUGAUGUGUACAAUUGGUGGAGUUACCCUUUAAGGCAGGUGCCACUUGGACAAUCUUUUAAGAGCAUGAGGUGGAGAUAAGACACAUAUCCCUGAUGAGACUGCAAAGGUACACAAAAGCACCUUGGAUGACUUUUUUACAUCCUCAAUCCC